UAUCACUUAAUCGUUCUCAUUGC
rnacentral:siRNA from 1 species